AAAAGCUGAGAAAAAGUUCAUUGAUAUAGCAGCUGCUAAAGAAGUCCUCUCUGAUCCAGAAAUGAGAAAGAAGUUUGACGACGGAGAAGAUCCUUUGGAUGCAGAGAGCCAGCAAGGAGGCGGCGGCAACCCUUUCCACAGAAGCUGGAACUCAUGGCAAGGGUUCAAUCCCUUCAGCUCAGGCGGACCAUUUAGAUUUAAAUUCCACUUCAAUUAAACCAACUGUUUUUCUGCUCUUCUUAAUUUUUUUAAAGAUUAAAAACAAAGAAAUCUUGUUCCGGGACCCUAAUGAAAAAAAAUUUCAAAUCUUUUCAGUUUGUCCAUGACCAAAGAGUUGCUUUAAUAGGAAAAAAUCUGUUCUUAUCCCUGUCAGAUUUAUGGUUAAUGGGUUUGCAACGGCAAGGAGGCAAGGAAUGGUUCUAUUUCUGACAGAGCAGCCUGCAUCUGCUUUAUGCUGUCUGGAGGGAAGUGGUCUGAGGCAGGCUCACCCGUGGAAGUGCUCACGUAUUCUGUAUUAUUUUUCUACACUGGAGCUGAGAUUCUUCUCUUCACAGCCUUGCAGAGUAAGUCAGUGCCUACAAGUGUAAGAAGGAGCUGUAAUCUUCAUGAGGAUGGUUAUACUUCAGUAUUCUUAAAGAGAACAUGAACAUUUUUGAGCUGUAUGUUCUUAGGGACAACUGUGCUUCGAUGUGGUCAGUCUCGUCACUUGUGAGUAGCUGUGAAAUCUUUAGUGUGCAUGUGUUUGCACCUCUGUGGUCUGUCAACGUGGCUGUCACUGAAGGAGCAAGAGACCAUCUUUUAGGAACCCUGCCACCAAAUAAUAAUAUAUCCAGGCUUAGACUUUGGAUUAAUGUUAAAUGUACAUUUUUUUGGUUCAGUACCUGAAGAAGAAUACUGAAACUUGAAUCUAUAAAUUCCUAUGGACCCUUUUAAUAUUAAACACAACAAAUUAAAAGUUGUUAUAGGUAAAAUAAGUUCAGAUAAAAUAGUGGUGGUAUUUAAAAUAAUAUUGCUGAAGUGCAGAUUGAAAUACUUUUUAAACAACUGAAGUUCUGAGUUUUUAUAGGGAAUUUCAUGUAACAAGACUGGUUUAGAAACGUAAAGUUGCGCAGUCAACAUAAAUAAAUACAGAAUGCCAUGUUCUCCACUUCUAAGUAAAGACAGUGGGCAGCUUCUGUUUCUCCUUCUAUCAAGGCUUCACCCUAUCUUAAAGGUCUGUGGUGCCUCCCACGUGGGACCUGUCUGCUGGUAUGUGUUAAACAGCAGACCGGCCCUUCUACCAGAUCUUGAUGCCUCUGAUUUUCUCCUGCCUACAAGAAAAUACAGGCAAGGUUAGUCAGGUCUGGCUAUAUUUCCACUGUUGUUUCAUUUAAUAAGAUGGCAUCUCCUCUUGAGAUAUGUUCUUCUUACCUUUUAAGAAGAUACUAUUUAAGAAGUGAACUAUUCAGUCUUUGUAUACUGAAUGCUUUUUCCCUAAAAAAUGUUAAUCAAGAAUAUUGAAUAUUUAUGGCACUCUUGAUGCUGCAUUUGAAAGCUGAAGGAAUUACUUUAGAUAGAUAGGAAUUGCUACCUUUAUUCUGGAAAGGUUUUGUUUCUGCCUCAAAGCAUUUUGAAGUGUUUUAACCAUUAAAGGGUCUAAUUUUUUUUUCUUAAUGAAAUCAAGCAUUUUAAUUCACUGUGGGAGGCAUCCUGACCACGGACAUCCAUAACAGCAAAGCACAAAUCGUUUUCGUCUGUAGUCAUAUCCUGAAACAUAGGUGGACAAAUUUUUAACUGAGAGACAAAAAUCACAUAGUUGAAUUGAGCAGAACACUUAAGUGCUUUCUGCAUCUAUUUAGGAGUCUAUUUCUUACCAAUAAACUUGACAACGCAUUUGGAAAACUAGUGAACACCUUACAGCUUUCAUUUUGCUUUAAUGUUUCAAUUCAAGCCGGUGUAAAAAUAAUUUCCAAGGCAUUUCUGUUUAUUCUUUAGUAAUCUCACUACUGGCUAUGUCAGCAAUAUCUUUUUCAAUCUGGUUCCUUUUGUAUAUGAUGUCACUGUGACCUCUUUGAAAUAUAGUGAUGGCUUUUACCUACUUUGAAAAGAAUUUUCACAUAGAGUCAG
rnacentral:lncRNA from 1 species